rnacentral:rRNA from 1 species
UACGUAGGGUGCAAGCGUUGUCCGGAAUUAUUGGGCGUAAAGAGCGUGUAGGCGGCCCGAUUAGUCCGCUGUGAAAGUCCAGGGCUCAACCCUGGAAUGCCGGUGGAUACUGUCGGGCUAGAGUCCGGAAGGGGCGAGUGGAAUUCCUGGUGUAGCGGUGAAAUGACGCAGAUAUCAGGAGGAACGACCGGUGGCGAAAGCGGCGCGCUGGACCUCUACUGACGCGUGAGGCGACGAAAGGCGUGGGGGAGCAAACGGG